rnacentral:misc_RNA from 1 species
CCCUCAUGGUACUUGUUUGCUAUCGGUCUCAAAUUCAUAUUUAGCUUGAGAUGAAAUUUACCACCCACUUUGCGCUCCAUUCCCAAGGAACGUGACUCUGCACAGCGUGCCGUACACACGGGGCUGCAAAUUAAAGACGGGACUCUCACCCUCUGUGGUGCGCUCUUCCAAGCGACUUGUAUUUGCGCCCGCGUUGGCAACGCAGUUACAAAUUACAAUUCAAGGCCGCGGGCCUUGAUUUCCACUUUGAGCUGCUCCGAGUUCAUUCGCCAUUACUCACGGGAUCCUCUUUAGUUUCUUAUCACUCCGCUUACUUAUAUGCUUAAAUUCGGCGGGUUUACUUACCCAAUUUCAUUUCUGAAAUUCUUGGCAUGCACCGCGGCUGCAAAUGAUACAAUGCAUAACUUCAAGUCGCGCGAGCGCAAAUUCUAGUAGUUAUAGCAUCGAUCCAGCGUACGCAGGUAAGCUUGACACGCGAUGCUGGUCAACAGCUCGUUGGCAAGCAAGGAAUCUCGCAACAAGUUGGAACAACGCUUGAAGAAUCUGAAAUGGGCAUGCUGUCAACAGGGGUUGGCAGCGCAACUUGCGUUCUACAUUCUAUUGGUUCACGGAAUUCUG